AUUUCUCUACCAGGAUGCAGUAGAGAGCUGGUUGGACCAGCUCAGAAAUGCAUAAGAUGUGGAGAAGAAUUCCCUUUUUCAAGUAUUAAGGCUCAUAGUGAUCAGUGCAUGGGUUUUGUUAGAUGGUCUUGGACAAGAUCAACUGGCCCACACUGGACCAAGAAGAAGACAAUGACGUGUCUUUGGAAGAUCUGUGCAGACUCGCAGGAUUCCUGCAUGCAUUCACUGAGAAUGCAUCUCCAAACUUGCUUGGAAAACUUCUGCAGUUUUGGGUGGGAUGGGAUAUGCUUCCCAGACACUUAGAUGUUGAAGUUGUGGAGAGCUCCUUCCCAGGGUCUUCAGCCUGCUUCCAUCUGCUGAAACUCCCUGGACAUUGCACAGACUAUAGUGUCUUUAAUAGAGACCUCCUUGCUGCUGUUGGGACUGUUGAUACUGGUUUUGGAUUGAUCUGAGCAGAAUACGUGUGUGUCAUUGUCCCAAAGUUCCAAAUAUCAUAUGCCCUCUGGAUAUCUGAGACUAGUUAAUAUACCCGUUGGAAACAGCUCUGAACAGUUGUUUUAAACAAAAAAGGUUUUAGAUGAUGCCUCAUCUGCUCUCUGGACAGUGCUUUGGAUAUGUUGAGCUUGGAUUUACAAAGUUCUUUUGUCAAAUGUUUUUUCAGGUUCAGUCCUCUUAAUAUGAAAAAUGCUUUGCUU